rnacentral:lncRNA from 1 species
CUCGGCCUCCGUCGNNNNNNNNNNCCCCCGUGCGCACACAUACACACACGCACACGCGUUUUGCCGCCCCAUAAUAGGGAAUGGAAUGCGGGGGCGGGGCCGCCGGUCGGCCUCAACCCCGGUCACCUCUGCUGGGGAAAGCCGGGUCGGAGGCACCCCGUACGGCGGGGAAGAUGGGCCCGGGCUCCUCUCCCGGGGGCGGGUUUCGGCCCGCCUCUGGGGAAGGAGCCGCCGUGGGUGUCCCCGCAACGAGCCUGUGCGGUAACCUCGGAGAGGCGCGCCCCGAAAAAAUUAUUUCCGCUUUGUUACAGGGAAUACGGCAGCCGCUGCGCCGGGGAGUGGGCCCGGCGCGCGCGCCGCAGGCGGCUCGCCAACUUCCCCCCCACCCCCCUUUCUUAUCCCCCCUCCCCUCCACUCGNNNNNNNNNNAGCCCGAGGUGGAGGGUUGGUCGCCACCAGAAAGCCGCGGUCACUUCUUUCUGAAAGGAGUGGAGUCAACGUAACUACAGCUUUCUCACUGAGUCAUACCAGCUGUUGCAAGUAAUGCUGAACAAAAAUAAUUCCCCGGUUACUCUGCCUGUGCUUUUGCCUGUGGUUAACUUCACUGUUUUUGUUUAAGUCAGUUUCUUCUUUGGUGUGCAUCUGUGACAUAGCAGGAAAGAUGUGCCUGUGUAAGUAAGCUUCACAAGUCGUUUAGGAGAUGUAUAGGAAAAUAUAGAACUGCUUUUAAGUAACUCUUGAAAGUUGGCUAGAUUUUAAGCUGACUCUGCCCUUUUAACAGAUGCUCAGAAGAGUGACUGCUCUUUAUUGCCUCAGCAUACCAUCUUGGGAUAACACAUCAGCCAGUCUGAUGGAAUAUUUUAUGUAGAGUUACUACUUCCCGUGAGUCAUUGCUGAAAGUGGCAAUUACGUCUGCAAGAACACAGCAUCAUUCAUGUCCCUUGCUAGAAGUCGUACAUUAGGGGGGGGUUGUGUUGGUCCUAAGAAUCAUAGAGUUCUAUAGAAGUGUUGCUAGUAAGACACAAAAGACUGAAUAAUUACUUCUUUUUUUUUUUUCUGUGUUUGAGCAUACAGUUGAACCCCAAACUUCUAUCAGUCUGCAAGGUGAGAAAACACAUCCUCUUCCAGCAGUGACUCGGCAGCGUGUUAGCCAUCAAAGCUAGGUUUAAAGUAACAUGUUCAGAUAACUUUAAUUCAGUGUUUGUGUUCAAACUGAUCAAACAGCAAUCUGUAUUGCUACUGUUUGUUUUCAGUAAAUUUGAAACUGGGAAAGACAAUCCAGAGGAGUUGAUGAAGUUUAAAGUACUGGCAAUAAAAAGAGUAAAAGAAGACA